rnacentral:rRNA from 1 species
AGUGAACGCUGGCGGUAGGCCUAACACAUGCAAGUCGAACGGCAGCACAGUAAGAGCUUGCUCUUACGGGUGGCGAGUGGCGGACGGGUGAGGAAUACAUCGGAAUCUACUUUUUCGUGGGGGAUAACGUAGGGAAACUGACGCUAAUACCGCAUACGAUCUACGGGUGAAAGCAGGAGAUCUUCGGACCUUGCGCGAUUGAAUGAGCCGAUGUCGGAUUAGCUAGUUGGCGGGGUAAAGGCCCACCAAGGCGACGAUCCGUAGCUGGUCUGAGAGGAUGAUCAGCCACACUGGAACUGAGACACGGUCCAGACUCCUACGGGAGGCAGCAGUGGGGAAUAUUGGACAAUGGGCGCAAGCCUGAUCCAGCCAUACCGCGUGAGUGAAGAAGGCCUUCGGGUUGUAAAGCCCUUUUAUUGGGAAAGAAAAGCAGCAGAUUAAUACCCCGCUGUUCUGACGGUACCCAAAGAAUAAGCACCGGCUAACUUCGUG